GUGUGGCAGUGAUGAUUAAAUCUUAACAGCUUUACGCCAGUUCUGCUUCAGAAAAUUCUUGAUAGAAGAAGCUGUAUAUAAAUUCUGAGCUUUUU
rfam:Brassica rapa chromosome A2, whole genome shotgun sequence.